GGGUUGAACUGGGAUGGUUGGGGUUGAACUGGGAUGCUGGGGUUGAACUGGGAUGGUUGGGGUUGGACUGGGAUGCUGGGGUUGAACUGGGAUGGUUGGGGUGAACUGGGAUGUUGGGGGUGAACUGGGAUUUUGGUUUG